rnacentral:rRNA from 1 species
AGUCGAACGAACUCUGGUAUUGAUUGGUGCUUGCAUCAUGAUUUACAUUUGAGUGAGUGGCGAACUGGUGAGUAACACGUGGGAAACCUGCCCAGAAGCGGGGGAUAACACCUGGAAACAGAUGCUAAUACCGCAUAACAACUUGGACCGCAUGGUCCGAGCUUGAAAGAUGGCUUCGGCUAUCACUUUUGGAUGGUCCCGCGGCGUAUUAGCUAGAUGGUGGGGUAACGGCUCACCAUGGCAAUGAUACGUAGCCGACCUGAGAGGGUAAUCGGCCACAUUGGGACUGAGACACGGCCCAAACUCCUACGGGAGGCAGCAGUAGGGAAUCUUCCACAAUGGACGAAAGUCUGAUGGAGCAACGCCGCGUGAGUGAAGAAGGGUUUCGGCUCGUAAAACUCUGUUGUUAAAGAAGAACAUAUCUGAGAGUAACUGUUCAGGUAUUGACGGUAUUUAACCAGAAAGCCACGGCUAACUACGUGCCAGCAGCCGCGGUAAUACGUAGGUGGCAAGCGUUGUCCGGAUUUAUUGGGCGUAAAGCGAGCGCAGGCGGUUUUUUAAGUCUGAUGUGAAAGCCUUCGGCUCAACCGAAGAAGUGCAUCGGAAACUGGGAAACUUGAGUGCAGAAGAGGACAGUGGAACUCCAUGUGUAGCGGUGAAAUGCGUAGAUAUAUGGAAGAACACCAGUGGCGAAGGCGGCUGUCUGGUCUGUAACUGACGCUGAGGCUCGAAAGUAUGGGUAGCAAACAGGAUUAGAUACCCUGGUAGUCCAUACCGUAAACGAUGAAUGCUAAGUGUUGGAGGGUUUCCGCCCUUCAGUGCUGCAGCUAACGCAUUAAGCAUUCCGCCUGGGGAGUACGGCCGCAAGGCUGAAACUCAAAGGAAUUGACGGGGGCCCGCACAAGCGGUGGAGCAUGUGGUUUAAUUCGAAGCUACGCGAAGAACCUUACCAGGUCUUGACAUACUAUGCAAAUCUAAGAGAUUAGACGUUCCCUUCGGGGACAUGGAUACAGGUGGUGCAUGGUUGUCGUCAGCUCGUGUCGUGAGAUGUUGGGUUAAGUCCCGCAACGAGCGCAACCCUUAUUAUCAGUUGCCAGCAUUAAGUUGGGCACUCUGGUGAGACUGCCGGUGACAAACCGGAGGAAGGUGGGGAUGACGUCAAAUCAUCAUGCCCCUUAUGACCUGGGCUACACACGUGCUACAAUGGAUGGUACAACGAGUUGCGAACUCGCGAGAGUAAGCUAAUCUCUUAAAGCCAUUCUCAGUUCGGAUUGUAGGCUGCAACUCGCCUACAUGAAGUCGGAAUCGCUAGUAAUCGCGGAUCAGCAUGCCGCGGUGAAUACGUUCCCGGGCCUUGUACACACCGCCCGUCACACCAUGAGAGUUUGU